GAACUUAAGCAUAUCAAUAAGCGGAGGAAAAGAAACCAACAGGGAUUGCCUCAGUAACGGCGAGUGAAGCGGCAACAGCUCAAAUUUGAAAUCUGGCCGCAAGGUCCGAGUUGUAAUUUGUAGAGGAUGCUUUUGGCGAGGUGCCUUCCGAGUUCCCUGGAACGGGACGCCAUAGAGGGUGAGAGCCCCGUACGGUAGGACCACCAAGCCUCUGUAAAGCUCCUUCGACGAGUCGAGUAGUUUGGGAAUGCUGCUCUAAAUGGGAGGUGUACGUCUUCUAAAGCUAAAUACCGGCCAGAGACCGAUAGCGCACAAGUAGAGUGAUCGAAAGAUGAAAAGCACUUUGAAAAGAGGGUUAAAAAGUACGUGAAAUUGUUGAAAGGGAGGCAUUCAUGACCAGACUUGGGCUUGGUUGAACAUCCGGCGUUCUCGCCGGUGCACUCUGCCAGUCCAGGCCAGCAUCAGUUUGCCCCGGGGGAUAAAGGCGGCGGGAAUGUGGCUCCCUUCGGGGAGUGUUAUAGCCCGUCGUGUAAUGCCCUGGGGCGGACUGAGGAACGCGCUUCGGCACGGAUGCUGGCGUAAUGGUCAUCAAUGACCCGUCUUGAAACACGGACCAAGGAGUCGUCUUCGUAUGCGAGUGUUCGGGUGUCAAACCCCUACGCGUAAUGAAAGUGAACGUAGGUGAGAGCUUCGGCGCAUCACCGACCGAUCCUGAUGUUCUCGGAUGGAUUUGAGUAAGAGCAUACGGGGCCGGACCCGAAA
rnacentral:rRNA from 1 species